AUGAAAAUGAAAUAGGUUUGAAUACAAGUAACAUUAAGAGAUCAGAAUGCUUUUCAUUUAUGCAAUUGUCUCUACUGGAAAAGAAAAAAAGGCUUAUGAGUGGAAUACAAGGCGAGCUUAUCUUCAGAUCAUUAAGCUGUGGUGGCCACAAUUGGCCAUAAUUGUAACUCAUAUUUACAGAUUAACCUACACUGGCUAUGCCUAUUUUUGUAGUUCAG
rnacentral:misc_RNA from 1 species